GAACCAACUGGUGAACCUUCUCCUAAAAGACCAAGAGGAAGACCCAAAGGAAGCAAAAACAAGAGUCCCUCUAAAGCAGCUCAGAAGAAAGCAGAAGCCACUGGUGAAAAGCGACCCAGAGGCCGGCCCAGAAAAUGGCCUCAACAAGUGGUUCAAAAGAAGCCUGCUCAGGAAGAGACUGAAGAAACAUCCUCACAAGAGUCCGCAGAGGAAGACUAGGAGACCACACCAUGCAAUUUCUACCUCAUCAGCAGUUGGGUCUUUUUAAGGGAGAAGACGCUGCCUUGACCACUUAUUUUCUAUUGCCAUGGUCUUUCCACUUUUGCCUGGGGGAAAAAAAAUAAUUGCAUAACCUUAAAAAGGAUUUGACUAAUCAUCUUCUUUGUAAUCCCUUCACAGUCCCAGGUUUAGUGAAAAACUGCUGUAACACAAUGGGGGGGGGACACAGAUUAACGAUGCAACUUUUAAUUACUGUUUUCUAUUUUCUUAACCUACUAAUAGUUUGAGCUGCUAAGUAAGGGUGAAUGGGUCAAGAAGAGCUCUGAAUCAGGUUUAUGUCAUUCACUGCACUGCAUAUAAACAAGAAAUUUGUAACAUAGUCAUUAUAAUGGGCAUUGAAAUAGAAAAGGCUGGGUGUCUAACACGAAAGCCUUGCAACACUUCCAGCAACCCGCUCCCUACUUAGUCCAUUUUAGAACACCAAAGACAGGGGAUAAAUAUUUUGCUUCCUCUUUUGUAACCUUGUAGACUUGUACUUGAUUUAAAAAAAAAAUAUUUUAAGACUUACUGUUAUUUCAGGAAAAGUACUGAAAGCUGAUCUUUCACUUCAUUCAGCUGGUAAUCAGAAGACAUCAACAUGAAAAAGGUACUUUCAUUUUGCAAAAGGGAAGAAAGACAAAGAUACGUUGUAUAGUUAUAGAUACAAACAUAUCAGCAGAAGCAGUAGUAAACAAAAUGAAUAGCCCUCAUCUUCUGGACUAUAGGAAUCCAGACUGAGUCGACUUUCUGUAGAGUCAGGUGUUUCCAUGGAAACAAAUGACUGACACCAAACACUCUUUAUGCCAUUAAUGACUAAGUCUUUAUCGAGAAAAGUGUUUUCAAACAUAUAGAAAGGUACCUCAAAAUUAAUGAUGAAUUUAUCUAAACAAAAAUAAACCAGAUGUUUUGCUUAGUUUGACUAAUUCUACUCACCCCAUACCAGUAUUUCAGAAGAUUUGAAUCUCUUCUCAUUACUCAUCAGUCAUGAUGUAAGAACUCACACCAUGUACCUCAGCUAAGCUUGUGCAUUACUUUAAGCAAUGUAUUUUGACAUAGGAUGGUUCACUGAGCACUUCCGUGCCAGUGGCAUUUCUCCAUCUUUUCAUUCAAAGCAGCACUUUUAGCACCAGAUGCAAUAUUACCCCACUAUUCAAUACUACCUCUGAUUUUUACAAAUAACUCAACAGACUGAUAAAUACAUGCUGCUAUACACAUUCAAUGCAGGAAAUUUUUACUGGGUAGAUAAUCAUGAGUAUCUGCAUUUUCCCCUUAUUUCUACUUCAACACCUAGUUGCAGUUAAGGAAGCAAUAUCUUUAUUGUGUUUCAGCAUGACUAUGUAUUUUUCUUUCUCUUGGUUUGGUUUGGUUUUUUUUUAAUGUACUUACCCUAUUCUCUGCUAGACUUCUGUGUAAUGUACUGUUAACUUGAAUAUAUUUUUGUACUGAAUUGCUGAUAGGUUAGUGAGAAUAAUUUUCUUCAGUGACACUACAUGACAUAGAAAAAAAUUUAGCUGUAAUGUUUAAAUAUUACUGUCCAAGUUUGUACCUCAAAUGAAUUGUUUAAAGAAAUGGACUAAUUGAUUGACAAAGAUCUACCUCCAGACUUUAAAUGGAAUGAACUUGUUACUUUCAGCAUUAGUUUUGAGACGUUUGAAACAGUUAGGACUGCAACUAAUCCCUAAUUCAAAACUAUUUUUGUAAAAUAACUUGUGGAAAAUGAACACAUUUUAAAUUACUUUCGUAUUAAAAAAAAAAAAACGAACAAAAAAAACCUUCAAAGAAACUUGAAGCUUUGUAGGUGGGAAGCAACAAGCUCAGCUUUUGCAUAAUGCAAUCACAAAUAUGUGUUUAAAAAAAUAAUUAGUAGCUUGUGUAUUUUACACAAAUGUGAUUUUGUAAUAUGUUUCAGCCAGAUUUAUUUUAAAUGCUUCUUGUGUAGAGGUUUUUUAUUCUCUUCUCUCUCACUUUUGUUGUUCUUUCUCUCUCUCUCUCUCUCUCCCCUUUCUCCUAUUUAGUUUUCUCUUUCUGUUUUGUUUCCCUUCUUCCUCUCUUUCCUAGUCAGUACUUUGUACCAUAGUAUUAAUAACUGGGCCAGGGGUAGUUUCUCAGGAGGGCGUCUGUUGGUAUGGCUUUAGUACUGAGCCAAAUGCAGUUAAAGAUAACUACUUUACGGGCGUUUUCCAAGAGGCAGUGUCAAGAAAUGCAGACCUCCUUGAAAGCCCGCGGAGGGUUCAGUGACAGAAAAUCGCUGAGAAAGAGCUGAUUGGAGUAUAACAACUAGACACAUUAAUAUUAAAUGAAAGAGGAAUCCUAGCUAUACAGUAGCUUUAGCAGGCUAAAUCCACUGUCACUUGAAGGCAGGAGAAGGAAUUCUUCUGACUUCAAAGAGCAUUGAAUCAAGCCUUAGCAAGUCCCUUCUGGGGUUUGGGUUGGGGUUUUUUUUGCAUUUUUAAAAACAACAAUUAUCAGUGGAUGACACAGAAAUAAUUGCUGGAUGUGUGUCACACUUCAACCUCCGAGAGACUUACCAUUCUGAUGAACUGAAUCUUCUGUUUCCUAUAUAUUGUAGUACAAUCAAAAUACAUUACUACCUCUUAGGGCCUACUAUACCUCAUUUUUUCAGACUGAAAAAUUGCAUGUGGCCAUUGAAUCAGUGAGAACAUCAUAAAAUUUUUUAUAUAUAUAGUUUAUUUUUGUGGGAGAUAAAUUUUAUACGACUGUUCUUUGCUGUCAUUGGUCACUGCUAACUAAGACUGGACAUUUAACUUUUCUACCAUUUCUGCAAGAGAGGUGUGUUUGCAGGAAAAAAAAAAACAAACGCUUCAAGGUGUUUAACUACAGUUUACUUUUUCUUUUGAGUGUCUUCUAACUUUUUGCUUUAUUCUUUGUGUAGAGUUGCUGUCUAUGAUUGUAUUUCAAAUCGCUUGCUUGUUGAAAAUGUUCCUUUAAUGGAUUAUCACAGUCUGUUCAGCGCAAUAAACAUAAUAGCCUCUGUGAUCCCCA